UCCGGUGUUUAUAGCGGUCUUGAAACACACGUUCCCAUCCCGAACACGAUUGUUAAGAGGACCCGCGACGAUGAUACUGCACAUCAGAGUGUGGGAAAGUAGUUCGACGCCGGAU
rnacentral:rRNA from 1 species